GUCUGAUUGCUGAGACACACAGUUGACAAAAUAUGAAUGAGUCUAGGCAACAGUCACUGUUCUUCAUCACACUUCCAGAUUUACAUCAACUGUGUGCUGUCCCAGUAAUAUUAAGUAACAGGGUGGUGGAUACUGAGAUUAGGAGUACACAAAUGAAGAUGUGCAGACAAUUGCUACUUUUGCAUGAAGAUAUUCUUAUAUCACCUGUCCCUGGAAUAUUCAACCAAAUUUGGGUGGUGAUGACGAUACCAUUUUUUAAAGCUGGGAAACUUAAUGCUUAUAUUGAAAAAUAUGAAGCUAAGAUGGAGGCUCCACAAAGAGUAAUUCCUGUAAUUCUUCAGAACUGCCUUUCGUAUUCAUUCAUGGCUAGACUUGCUCCAGCCUGGAAUAGAGCUGGACAUCUCUUGGUACAAGUAUUAGACAUCAAUGUAACAGAAGCUCAAGUUUGUCUAAGUAUAGAAGUUUGCACUGUCAGACUGCCACCACCUGAGCUAAAGGAAUUUGAUAUUUCUCAGAGUACUAUAGAGAAUUUUCAUACUAACAAGAUGGCUGUUAUUGAAAGACAUUCCAUUUUGAGCAACUGGUGCUAUAUUUUGCCCAGUAUGAAAAUGGGACAAAUAAUAAAUAUUCUUCAUGCUGUACCUGCUGACUGUCCAUUCCAUUCAUUCGAAGAUUUCCAGAUGCACUGGGAUGACUUGUAUGGCUAUAAACUUCCAGAAGAUGAUAGAAAUAGUAAAAUAUACUGCAACAUCUACUUCAGAAUGAUCAGAGAAAGGACUUUUACGUAUCCUUUUUGCAAUAGUACUUGUAGGAGAUGCCCUCUGACCACCUUAUUUUCUGGUCUUGCUCCUGCUCCAUGAUGUCGUAUUUAAAUGAAAUUAGCUUUCCUCCAUUUCUUACCUGCACAAGUGUUUUGGGUUUUGCUUAGACUUUUCUCAUAUUUCAUUUGAGUAUGAGCUU
rnacentral:lncRNA from 1 species